rnacentral:rRNA from 1 species
UACGGAGGGUGCAAGCGUUAUCCGGAUUUACUGGGUUUAAAGGGUGCGCAGGCGGAUAUGUAAGUCAGUGGUGAAAUCUCCGGGCUUAACCUGGGAACUGCGCUUGUUACUGGCAGGCUUGAGUGUGGCAGAGGGGGGUGGAAUUCCACGUGUAGCAGUGAAAUGCGUAGAGAUGUGGAGGAACACCGAUGGCGAAGGCAGCCCCCUGGGCUAACACUGACGCUCAUGCACGAAAGCGUGGGGAGCAAACAGG